UAUAUACUCACACUAACAAACGCCCGGGUAUUACGAGCCUCAGCUUAAAACCCAAAGGACUUGACGGUGUCCCAUCCAACUAGAGGAGCCUGUUCUAUAAUCGAUAACCCCCGAUACACCUAACCCCUCCUUGCCAAUCAGCCUGUAUACCUCCGUCGCAAACUUACCAUAUGAAUGCCAAUAGUAGGUUAAAUGGUUAUAUCACCAACACGUCAGGUCAAGGUGCAGCUCAUGAUAGGGAAAGCAAUGGGCUACAAUUUCUAAAAUAGAACACACGGAAUGCUGCAUGAAACACAGCCGCGAAGGCGGAUUUAGUAGUAAAAAGAAAAUAAAGUGUCCUUUUUAAUAAGGCCCUGGGACGUGUACACACCGCCCGUCACCCUCUUCAACAGCACACAAUAUGUUCCUAACAACUCUUGCACCCUAGAAGAGGCAAGUCGUAACACGGUAAGUGUACCGGAAGGUGCACUUGGAUUUACAAAGUAUAGUUUAACAAAACCUCCCGCUUACACCGAGAAUAUAUCUGUGGGAAUCAGAUUACUUUGAGCCUAAAAUUAAGCCUAACCCACCCCCAUGAAAACCACUUCCAACUAAACAACAAUAAAACAUUUUAUCAGUUUAGUAAAGGCGAUUAAAAAACUUCCUAGCGCUUUACUUCUAGUACCGCAAGGGAAAAAUGAAAUAGUUUUGAAACAGCCAUUAAGCAACCUACAGCAGAGACUACCCCUCGUACCUUUUGCAUCAUGGUUUAGCUAGUCUUUUUCAAGCAAAGCGAAACAUCAGUUUGACCCCCCGAAACUAAGCGAGCUACUUCAAAACAGCUCAAUGGAGCCAACCCGUCUCUGUCGCAAAAGAGUGGGACGAUUUUUAAGUAGAGGUGAAAAGCCUACCGAGCUUAGAGAUAGCUGGUUAUUCAAGAAAAGAAUUUUAGUUCUACCUUAAGUUUCUGUAUUAACUCUAUAAACCACUCAAACUUAAGAGCUAUUCAAAUGAGGCACAGCUUAUUUGAAAAAGGAUACAACCUAUAAAAAAGGGUAAAACACCCCCCCAAAAAAUAAGUGGGCCUAAAAGCAGCCACCUUUAAGAAAGCGUUAAAGCUUCUUUUUCCAAAAAUCUAAUACCAAAACACACCUUUAACCCUUUAUUCCUACUGAAUGAUUCUAUACUCACUAUAGAAGCCCCAAUGCUAAAACUAGUAACAAGAAAUUGACUUUCUCCAAAAUACAAGCAUAAACCAAAAUGGACUAACCAUUGGUUAUUAACGUCAAUUAAUCAAUAUAGCAACUAUAUCAAGAAAACACUAUUAGUUAUUACGUUAACCUUACACAAGUGUAUUUCCGGAAAGAUUUAAAGAAGGGGAAGGAACUCGGCAAAUAAUAACCUCGCCUGUUUACCAAAAACAUCGCCUCUUGAUAAAAUAUAAGAGGUCCAGCCUGCCCAGUGAUAUAAUUAAACGGCCGCGGUACCCUGACCGUGCAAAGGUAGCAUAAUCACUUGUUCUCCAAAUAGGGACUCGUAUCAACGGCAUCACGAGGGUUAUACUGUCUCCCCCCUCUAAUCAGUGAAACUGACCUCCCCGUGAAGAGGCGGGGAUAUUUAUACAAGACGAGAAGACCCCAUGGAGCUUUAAACCCAAUAACAACCUCCACCAAAGUACCCUAAAAAUGAAGAGGCACUGUUUAUUGGUUUUAGGUUGGGGUGACCACGGAGAAAAACUAAACCUCCAUGACGAAUGGACCUUAAGCCUAAUCUAAGAGCCACUACUCCAAGAAUCAUUAAUUUGACAUAAUUUGAUCCGGCAACCGAUCAACGAACCAAGUUACCCUGGGGAUAACAGCGCAAUCCAUUUCAAGAGCCCCUAUCGACAAAUGGGUUUACGACCUCGAUGUUGGAUCAGGGUAUCCCAGUGGUGCAGCCGCUA
rnacentral:misc_RNA from 1 species